AAGUGAAAAGUGAAAGUGAAGUCGCUCAGUCAAGUCCGAGUCUUAGCGACCCCAUGGACUGGAGCCUACCAGGCUCCUCUGUCCAUGGGAUUUCCCAGGCAAGAGUCCUGGAGUGGGGUGCCAUUGCCUUCUCUGAGGAAUGAAAUAGCACUAGCUUAAACUGGUUUUGCCUCUUUAAAUGGGUUGUUGAUUAAUCAAAUUGAAAUAGCACCAGCUUAAACUGGUUUUGCCACCACUCAUAGGUUGUUGAUUAAUCAAACCUUGAGUCAUUUUACACAGACAGCAUUCUGUAUGUGUGAGAUGGAAAUUCAUGUUUCCAGGAUGACAGCGGAACCAAGAAUCUUUAGUCUACAGAACUUAAAGACUAGAAAUGUUGUCACUGGAGUCUUUUGCAAAACGAGAAGUCCUUUAAUCGGGGAAAAUCUGGCUUCCAGGAGCCCAAGUAGCUCAGAUGCUCUAAUUGAAGACUAGCCAAUUAGCUUCCGAUUUUGAAAUUCCCCUAACCAUUAAAUAUCUCCUGGAAGCCUGGAUCAGGGAGACAGAUCUGUGAGCCUUGCUCCUAUUCUUUAUGCUGGUUGGCCUUGCUGCAAACCUCUUUGUUUUCUCAAAAGCCAGUCCCAUAGUCUCGGCUUCUCUGUGUGUGAUCCGGCAGUGAGCCUUUGCUUGGUAACCGGAGCAUGGCAAUGGGCAAAUUAAGAGUAACGUUUUAAAUAGCUGAUGUCACUGAUUGAUCUGAGAUCUCAUUUUACUUUCUAUGAGAAAAAAUGCUGAAGCUAGCCCCAAAUUUCCCAUUGUCAGGAGAGUGUGGCUGAAGCUCUUGUGACCAACCCUCUUUGAAGGUGUUGCAUAAGAAAAUCAUGGCAAUGAUCAUUUCCUCCACGGUGUCCCGCACAGAUUGUGUUCCCAGCCUCAUUAUGGAUUGCCAGGCAUGGCAGGAGGGAAGUUGCUGUGUCUUAUGUUUAACUUUUUGAGGAACUGCCAGAUUGUCUUCCCAAGUGGUUGCACCAUUUUACAUUCCCACGAGCAGGAGUCUCUGUCGUCUGAGGAAGCCAAACACACAAAUUGUUCCUGGGCAGAGCAGAGUGUCAAGACUCCAUCCACCACACUCACAGCUGGAUGGAACUCACCUUUGGCCCCAGCUAUGGAACAGAGAUCAGAAGAGGACUGGCCUUGGAGCUGCUCCUCUCCGUGGAAAUGUUUACAGCCGGUGAAACUGGGGGUGCUGAGGGCAUAGCAGUGGAGAGUGGCGACCCUACCCCUCUCCAUCAGCUGAUUCCGCUCCUGCCUUGGCUCCUAGUGGCAUCAGAGGUCACCAGGGAAAUGGAUAGAUCUGAUGUGCUUUGGUGGAAAGGGAGCUGGACUCUCAGUGAUGAAGUUUAGUGCUUUGAGUUUUAUGUGUGAACCCUGCCACUCCUUUGCUA
ensembl:lncRNA